AGAACGAACGCUGGCGGCAUGCCUAAUACAUGCAAGUCGAACGAACACUUCGGUGUUAGUGGCGCACGGGUGCGUAACGCGUGGGAAUCUGCCCUUGGGUUCGGAAUAACAGUUGGAAACGACUGCUAAUACCGGAUGAUGACGAAAGUCCAAAGAUUUAUCGCCCAGGGAUGAGCCCGCGUAGGAUUAGCGUAGUUGG
rnacentral:rRNA from 1 species